rnacentral:lncRNA from 1 species
CGUUUAUCUGGUGUUGAGCGGCGGUGUGUCCCUCCCGGCCCCCCGUACUCUGUGUAAACAGUAGCGCAGCUGGGAUGUUAUAUAGUUCAGGUAAAUUACCUGCGUUUUACCGGAUUAAUGGCCUCUUUAAAAAGAGCUAAAACCUGGGAACUCUCAGACUCAGAGCCGGAGGAACAAACCCCGCCUGAUUCAAUCCCGCAGAGUUCUGCAAAAGACAAUAAUGACGAUGAUGAUAAAGGUGAUGUUGAUAAUGAAGAUGACGAUGGCGCGGUGACCCAGAGUUCAAACAGUAAAUCUGAAGGCGCGAGUUCGGUCUGUCUGGUUCCUCCGUCGGGCCGAGGCUCUCGCGCCUCGUCCGUCAGCCCCAGCCGCAGGAGGAGAACCCCGGAGGAGAGAGAGGAGGAGCGAGCGAGAGCGGAGGAGAGGAGGGCGGAGAGAGAGAGAGCGAGGGAGGAGAGAGAGAGGGUGAAGGAGGAGAAAAAGAGGGAGCAGAGAUGGAGGAGGGAGGAGGCGGAGCGACUGAAGAGUCUGAAGCCAGAGAACUGCCUGAAGAACCUGACCGUCCACAUCCACCCCGUGCUGCUGCAGGACUGUGGAUGUGAUGUACUGGUGGAGACGUUAGCUGGGUUUGGGUGGAGUAGCUGUAUAGAGGAGCACAGCCUCACCCACAGCAUCAGCUGGACCAGACAACUACCUCAGGUACACACACACACGUGUUCUAACUUUUAUAUGAUAUAAUAGUAAUAUAUUUUCGUUGUUUAUUACAGUGAAAUAAUUAAUAAUUUAUGCCUUCUGCUAAAAUCCUCUUGUUGUUGUUGUUUAUGAUGCUGCACAUGAUGAAACCCAUCCUCUUCCUCAUUCUCUGCAGCAGCUAGUAAAAGAAAAUAUUCAGAAAAACAAGUCGAUCAGGAAAAGCACCGUGUCUACAUCAACCCGUGAGUUAGUAUUCAUGCCCCCGCCCACCUCGGCUCGGGACCGCGCACAGGCAAAGCAGAGCUGAAGCCGGGCAGCGAUGCCAUCUCGUCAGAUAGGAGGAGCUAACAGUGCUAGGAACAGCAUGCAGUUCAUUCCUGUGUUAUUUGUGCGAAUAACACAUCAGUGUUUAUAUACUUU